GGGAGAGCGACCGCGUCGGCUUUACUCGCGAGCCCAAAAACUAGCGAACCCUAAUCGAAGGAGGGGAACGGGAGCGCAUAGAUCCGGAAUCAAGCGGCGGAGAGGGGCGGCCGGUUCCAUCCAUCGAAGACCGCUGGGGUGCGUCCGUCCACCUGAGGUCAGGGAUGGGAUCGAGUCCAUCCGGUCCAGCUCCGAUGCGAGGCGGGAACUUGCCAAGGCGAGGCUCGCGCUGGGUUUGACCAGAAGCGCGGGAUCCGGCUUCAGUCGACGCGCUCGAGGGCUCGUGGUGAAACGACUCCUCCGUCUUCGCUCAGAUGGCGAGCGGUGAUUUCAGAAGAACUAUGGAAAGAAAGAGCACAAGGAUGUGAUCUACUAUAGUGGUACUGUUUCUUUUCUUAUAGUGGGUGAUAUGUUUCAGCACAAGGUAUGAUUCAAAGCCAUGUUUUUCUGGUGUUAUCUUUGUCGUUUGGUCAACUAAACUGGUGCUACCCCCUCAUGAGAAGAAUGAAUGUUGUGAGCUCCCAGCGGCUAAGUGUAGUGUGUUUCACGUCUUGGCUGAAUUUGUUACAAAACCAUAUCAGAGAAAUUGUCAGAAUCUUGCCCGUACGACUCUUUUCUCCUUCUGCCAUAAUUUUGUUUUGUAUACUAUUACUAUAUGAUACAUCCAUUGCUGACGUGUACAUCACGUUUUGCAGUUGUAGAAUUAAUUAUUCAGGCGUGAGUGAUUUGCGAAUGUGAAGAAAUCUCUUCCCAUAAGAGGCAGUUCAAAUAAAGUGUGAACCAAUUGUUUUCGCUGUAUCCUUGCUUAUCUAAGCUUAUAUACAAAGUACUUUGACAUGCUGAAAUAUUGGAUAACUGUCGGACGGUCGUUUCUAAUAUAUAUAUAUAGUUUGAAUUGCUAUUUUAGCAAGACCAAAGUGUCAUCAUAUUGUUUUGCCUAUAUGUCAAGGAGUGCAAGAUGCGCCUACAUACCUUUUUGCUUCAAAGUUGCUCGCUGUUUAGUUGAUUUCCAUAUUCCCUUAUGAUCGAGUCCUACGUGUACUAAUACUCUGUACCGCUAAAUCAUCACGGGGGCUAUUUGUGUCCAGUUCAAAUACCGUAAUGGAUAGGUCAGCUACUUUUAUCCAGUUUGCUGAUAAUUAACAUCCACAAGUUGUUUAUGAGUUAUAAAAAGGACAAAGCAAAACUUCCCUCUAUAGAUUCUACGUUUGAAUUGCACCAAGCUUUUGACAGCAUUAGUGGUCCUUCCAAGGUUAGCAUAUAUAGUGCUGGAGGGCCGUUAUUGUGUGGGUACAUACAGAUCUUACCUAGGUAUUGCGUAGGUACAUAUCUAUUGGUUGCAGAGAUGAAACUAGAUGCAUACUAAUAGUCUAACGUGACAGGUGUGCAGGCAUUGCGAUUUGUAUGUAAUCCUCUAUUUUAGUAGUGUUGUAUGCAUCUCAUUUUCUUAUUUACGCUUCAUAAUUUGGACUCUCAACUGAUUUUUUUUUAGUACAACCUCUGUCCCAAAUUACUUGGCUUAGAUUUAUCUAGAUACGGAUGUUCGUAUCUAGACAUAUCUUAGACAAGUACUCUGGGAGGGAGUAUUUGAUAAAUACUUUUCUCUAUCUAACGAUAUAAUUUUUAAAUUCUUUUUGCACCAGGGUCCACUGUUGACUAGAUCAUGCUCAUCGACAAUGGUGUACCGGGGGAUAGGCAUCUGAUGCUGCGGUGAGGCUGCUGGGCUAUCUUGCGGUAAAGGUAAAUUUGGUUUUGGCCCUGAAAAGGUUCCAACGAAGCUAUAUGGAUUACAGGAAGGUGUAGGUUUUGUCACAUAGAACUAAUUUUGCACUUUAUUUGCAAAAAUAGAGAGUACUCCCUCCUUCCAUCUAUAUAGGGCCUAAUGUGUUUUUAAGACCGCCUUUGACUAUUGACAAGAUUAAUAGUACAUGACAUGCAUAAUGUGAAAAUUAUAUCAUUGAAAGCUCCUUCCACACACGAAUUUAAAGAUAUGCUUUGUGUAAGUUGCAUGUCAUAUAUUAUUGAUGUAAUAUUUGGUCAAAGUUAGUCUUGAAAAACGCAUUAGACCUUAUAUAGAUGGAAGGAGGGAGUAUGUUGUUUCAAGCACUCUAGCCGGUCCAAAAACAGAUUUAGAAUUAAUUGACGAUCGUAUGAUUAAUGUUAUGGCCAAAUGAGGCUUAUAUAUUGCCUCUAUAUAUUUUACAUUGAUUCUGAAUAUUCUAUAGUCAAAAUAGACGGUGUGAUUUCUACCAUUCUAUUGUCAAAAUAGACGGGAGCGGCAACGCGCGCCAUCAUGGUCUAGUGGUACAUGUGUGCAAAGACCGAUUGUGAUGGAUCGUGAUGCAUGCAGACUCCAUGAAGGAUUCAAACAGAAACCGCCAAACGUGUCUUCCUUGGACUCUACAACAGAUUCUAAAAGCACCGGAGCGUUCAUGUACAUGGAGUGCAUGCAUGUAUUUAUUGUCUGCUAAUUACGUAAUUGAAAAGUAAUGAUGGUAAUCAAGUGGACUCCACUACUACUAGAUGGUUAAGCUAGCUGUCAUCCGGCCGGCCGAGGCAUGUGCAUGCACAAAAGCAUAUCGGCCGAGGCAUGUGCAUGCACAAAAGCCAUGCCUGUGGAGACAUGGACUAACACCCGACAAUUUAAACUGAAAAUUAUAUUUAAAU
rnacentral:rRNA from 1 species